GACGAACGCUGGCGGCGUGCUUAACACAUGCAAGUCGAACGGAAAGGCCCUGCUUGCAGGGUACUCGAGUGGCGAACGGGUGAGUAACACGUGGGUGUUCUGCCCUGCACUUCGUGAUAAGCCUUGGAAACUGGGUCUAAUACCGGAUAGGAGCCAUUCUUCUUGUGAUGGUUGGAAAGUUUUUUCGGUGUAGGAUGAGAUCGCGGCCUAUCAGCUUGUUGGUGGGGUAAUGGCCUACCAAGGCGGCGACUGGUAGCCGGCCUGAGUGGGUGGACGGCCACCUUGGGACUGAGGUAAGGCCCAGACUCCUAAGGGGGGCAGCAGUGGGGAAUAUUGCACAAUGGGCGCAAGCCUGAUGCAGCGACGCCGCGUGGGGGAAGACGGCCUUCGGGUUGUAAAAUCGUUUCGCUAGGGACGAAGCUUUUUGUGACGGUACCUAGAUAAGAAGCACCGGCUAACUACGUG
rnacentral:rRNA from 1 species